CUGGGAGAACAUCACAGUUUGUGCAGUUGAGGGGUAUACCAGCUGACUGCACCCCUCCCAAAGAGGACCUCAGUGGGAGCACAUACUGGUUCCAGGCCUGAAGGCCCUAAGGGGUCAGCACAUUCUAAGGACAAGAAGGCAAGAGAGACCCUCCCUCUGUGGCUGCCAUCACCAUGCCCGUUUUAUAAAGAAACCAAGGUUCAGAGGAGAUGAGUCCUUUGCCCAAGGCUUUAGAGUGAGUGGUGGAGCCAACAUCUGCACCUGGGUCUGCUUCACUCCAAGUCCUUGACUUUAAGCUUCCAGGAGGUGAUGAGGCUCCAGCUUGUGGGGGGACAUGGUGGGUGCCAAGCAGGCAAAAAGAGGUAUGGGAUGGAAGCUGCAUCCACAGCCCCCUCUGCUCGGAGUCUAGACUUAACUCCAUGGCCUCAGGAGAUGGGGGUGCCUGGUCGGGGCUGGUGGCGAGCUGGAGCCGGGCUGGGCACGGAUGUGGACAGAGUGGGGACCCAUCAAG
rnacentral:lncRNA from 10 species